AAGAAAAAUGCAUAUAUGAGCAUAGAGAUAAUGAUAGUAAUAAUGACAACAUAUAAAAAUAAUAAUUAAAUAAAAAAAAUAGUUCAAAAAGAAAAAGUGGAUUAAAUUGAACAAAAGACGAAAUAUCGGGGAUAAAUUCGAAAUAAAUAAAAGGACCCAAUUGAAUGCGCAGGAAACAAUGGAAGACCAAAAGGGGAAUUAAUCCCUCCCUCCUACAUGUUGCGCAGCACUGGAUUAAAUCGUCACGCGGGUAAAAUAUUUGGGCCAAAUUUUAAAGAGGAAAAAGAACUUGAUUCAAACGCGUCACAAAAGGGGGAGGGCUAAUUGCACAAUUUCCCCAUUUAGGUGGAGACGCGUAGACCCCCCCCAAAAACUAAACGGCGCCGUUUCACCUGCAUUUAAAAUUAACAAAAAAAAAACAAUUCCAAUCAUUUUGUUUCAUUUUUUUCACAUAUGCUCUGCUAAGGUUUCUCUUCUCCCCCUUUUGACGCCGCCAUUCAUUCGUCUUCGUGCCAGAGCUCCGAUCGCGGCGGAGACGGUGACGAUUCGGCAACUCCGACGGAAGGUAAGUUUUUCUUUUUCUUUUUCCUUCGUUAUUUUAUACGAAAUAAAACGAAAAUAAAAGAAAAUAAAACACAUAUAAAUAAUAAAAAAUACUAUAAAAAACGAAAAGAAAAAAAACCUUUGUAAAACAACUUUGAUAUCUGUAUUUUCUCUCUAUUUCUGUCUCUGUUACCCCGAAAUUUCCCCCCCACCUUUUUACAGAUUUUAAUCGGCUCUUUUAUAGCCGAAAAUGGGAAAGAAAAUAAAUCCAAACAAAUCUAUUCGGUUGUUUGUUGGCCUGAUUUUUUUGCUCU
rnacentral:lncRNA from 1 species